UGGUUCUGGCAUCGAUGAAGAACGCAGCGAAAUGCGAUAAGUAGUGUGAAUUGCAGAAUUUAGUGAAUCAUCGAAUCUUUGAACGCACAUUGCGCCCUUUGGUAUUCCUUAGGGCAUGCCUGUUCGAGCGUCAUUUACCGUAAUCAAGCCACGCUUGCUGUUGGGUGUUUGUCCCGCGGCGCGUUACUGUUACGCGUCGAAUUUACGGACUCGCCUCAAAAACAUUGGCGGCUCGUGUGUCGGCUCCCAGCGCAGCACAUUUGCGCUGUCUGCCAGGCACGCUGGCGUCCACAAGCCCGUCCAUCUUGGUUGACCUCGGAUCAGGUAGGGAUACCCGCUGA
rnacentral:misc_RNA from 1 species